GUGUGUGUGUGUGUGUGUGUGUGUGUGUGUGUGUGUUUAAAAUACAGAAAAAAGAAGCAUGGCUUUCCUCAGCUGCAGAGGCGGGCCGGGUUCUGUCCGUGCCAACUCCCUCAGAGCGGGCACUGUGGGGACACAGGAGGCACAGGAAGACGGCAGAGGUGAGGGACGGGUGUGGAGAAAGAUGGACGCUUGCCAUCUCGAGCGCCAGCGGCUGCAUGAGGCCAAACCCCAUGAACAAAACCCACAGCAGAUCGCUGGCAGCCCAUGUUAGGAGACGGAAGACAGUUGGCAGCGCUGCCGCAGCCUGGGAGCAGGCGGAUGUAGGCAAGGCCAGCGUGGAACAGGCUGCUGUAAGGCGAGAAGUCUCUAUCACACUCUACUGCUGGGUAAUGGAUGCUCUACUUCCCUCGGGCCCAAAGCUGUGGAGCCAGCUGACCUUGCGCUGAAGCUUGGGAAACUGUGAGCCAGUGUGACUCUGACCCUUUGAAGUGGUCGGGUCUGACACAGCAACGCAUCUGUGACCAUCUGAACGGAACAAGCAUGUUUCAGGCUCUGCACAGACAGCGGCAAGCCACCCGCAGCUUUCCACCUGGAGGGGGUUCUCAGGCCUCUGCUGAGUGAUGUGGAGACCAGUACGGUGCACUGGCUGUAGUAGACAGAGGAAGCAGAGGUUGGUGCUCAGGGUGCUGAGGCAUCUGCGAUUCGUGGCAUAUGGAGAGAAGGAAGCUGUGCAAACAAGAGGCCGGAGCUGUACACAGGAGUUCCCUGGAACCACGUGUGACAACAGUAGAAACUCCUCCGAGGGUGGAGAGGUGAUGUGGCACUGUGACAGUGUUCAUCUGAGACAGAUGGAGAGCAAAUACUGGCUGCAGCCCUGGAAAGGCCAGCCUUGAGAGCAGGGUGAUGACGGCCCCAGCUCAGAAAUGCCAAGCAGCCCCCUUUGUUAACAGGUUCAAAACAGCUUUGCCGGGUAAGGCUUCAGGGCUGGAACAAAUAACACCCUCUCUAUAGAAAAGAUCUCAGGGGACAGAUCCAGAGAGAGGUCACCCAGAUGUUGAAAUUAAAAGAGAAAGGUUUGAAAGGAAGACAGGUGAGCAGCCGUCCGGACCACAGAGAAACGAUGAGUAGACAUGAAGAUGGAUCCAUUUUUAAAAAUGCAAGCGUAAGUACAAAUUGAAAAACCCAACAGGGCUAUAGACAUGCUUCAGCCUUUGUCUAACAGUGUGAAGCCCUGGAUUUGAUCCCCCAGCACAAUAUAAACUGGGCAAGAUAGGAGCUUGCACCUAUAAUCCAAGAACUCGGGAUGUGUUUACAGGAGGAUCAGAUGUUCAGGAUCAUCCUCAGCUACAGACUGAAUUUGAGGCCAUCCUGGGAUACAGGAGACCCUGUCUUUAGAGUAGAUGAAAAGUAUCAAUCCACAAAUCAAUAAAGGCCAUGUGGAAUAAAACUAAAAAUCAGGGACACGCCGGCAAACUACUAACACCGAAUAAAGAGACCACCCCAGAAGCAGGUAGAGAAAAACAGGUGCAGCAGAGACAGAGGCACACGGUAAGGAAUACUGAUGACUUCUCAUCAGAAGCGAUGUGAGCCAGAAGGCAGCAGGAGAGUGUCUUUAAAAUGUUGAAACAAACCUAUAAACAAAGAAAAACGAAACACCCUUGGAGAAUUAAGCUGAAAUAAAGCAUUUCCUGGCAAACAGAAUCCGAGGAAGUCCAUCCUAGCAGACGUGUGUAGGAACCGUGGAGAAGUCCUUCAGGACAGAGGGAUGAUCUGGAGAGGCUCAGAUCAACCCAGAAAGGAAGCCCUGUGGAAUCUGGAAUGUGGUAACACAAAGUCCUCUUCAGAUGACGACAGAGUAGAAAUAAUGGCCUCUGGGGGGAGGGGAGGAUGGUAUUUUCAGAAGGAGUGUGUGCGACUUCAACACGAGACAGCAGGGUAGAGGCGCUAUGGUAACAUUUCCUCUCGCAGCGUCAGAUCAAUUUAGUAAGGUGUGAUCUGAACUCACAGCAAGGACAUCAGGAUCCUGAGAGCAGCUGCCAAAACCACAAGAAGCCCUGAGUGCCAAGAUCUUCAGCGCAGGGCCCCGGACUCGACAGAGCGCAGUAGUCUCUGGUGCAGACCUUCCGCUGUUGCUGCAACCGCUAUUUUGCUUUCUGGCGGUUCUCAAACUCGCGCUGGAACCAGAUGUAUACACCUUAUAAAUAAAAUUUCUGGCAGAAGCAGUCUUGGUCCGCGGGGGCCUUGACACCUGCUGGCCUGUCUAAGUUUGGCGGUCUGAGGAUCAUCCAGCUGGAGUGUCCACAGCUGUGACUUCUUCUUUAGACCCCUCUGGAGUCUGCACCUGCAGAAGCCUCACCUUGGUUUGGCUCUCAGCCUGGUUCAGGUAGCCCCAUCCUCCGUGGCUACAGUUAGAACCAUGACCAGCCUUCCUAAGCUCCAGCCCUGUAGCGUGGAGACUCAGGAGCACGCUAGAGCCACUGUUGCCAAGCAGAGUUAAGAGCAAUGGGAUCCACUAGACACCACACAUAUUCUGCUCUGUCCACUCAGGGGUACUGUACCACCUUUGCUUAUAGCCUCAAUGGGAUAUUGGAACAUUGACGGGGGGGGGGGGCUUUAUCAGCGUCUUCUAAGGCUAACCCGUGGCCAAGUUGCGUGUGGGGGAUUCUUGGUCUCUGCUCAUGUAUCACCUGCCUGGACCCUGGUGACCACAAACAUGCUUGUGAACUGGUUGGCUACAGGGCCACAUGUGUGCCAAUCAUCGGCAGACACGUGGGGAAGGCUAAGUUGUGGCCUUCUGUAGCCUGAUUCCUCUCACCCUGGAUGGGGAAACUGCCUGCCUGCCCUCAAGGAUACAGAAGCUAGGCUAAGGUCCACCACCCCUAGAUUGCUGACGCCUUUCCCGGACACAGUGGUGACAGUGUGCAUCUAAGCCCUGUCACAGAGGAAAAGGCAGAGGCUAGGAUUCCCAGCCCGGUUCCCUGCUCUGGAAGAAACAGGAGGCCCCAGCCUACCCCCUCCUCUGAUGUUUGCUGUUUUGUUGUUGUUGUUAAUUCCUCACCAGGUGGAACCGGCACUGUGGGGCUUAAUUAAGCUCAGCCAGCUGUUGCUGAACACGGGAAUGCAUUGCGUGGCAGAGUCAGCCUGGAGCAGCGGAAGAGGAAGGGCUGGGGCCACAGAAUCCCAGGCCAAGAUGGAGUAUGGUCAGAGUUCAGGGAGUAGAAAGCUGGGGUUGCCAAGGGGACUCCGUGGGGAGGUCCAAGCAUGUUCAAUUGCUGCUUUUCCUCCCCUCCCCUUCCCCAUGCAUUGAAUGAUCUCAGGUUCUGAGAACCGAGACCCACCCAUACUCUCAGAGGACAAAGGGAAACUUCACAGAUAUGAGAGCCCAGGGGAGGUCUUCAGGACAUACUGCUCAAUACUGGGACAGAAGUUCUGGAAUGAAUAUA